UGUCAGUCUCAGCCUUGCCUAUAUCAUUUUCUGCCAUCCAUCCCAAACAUGCAGGCUGACCACAGUGCUUAUAGUGCCACUACAUCUAGGGCCACCAUGCCCACCCCUCCCCUACAGGGCCCCAAAAUGCCCACUGCGUUGGACACAGCGCAGGAGCAUAUGGAUUCAGAGGAAUUGCAUUCCCUCUUAGACGCAGCUAUGGCGAAGUCUGUAACGCAGGCCAUAGUUACUGCCAUGGGUGCCAUGUCAGAGAAUUUAUCCCAUUCCAUAACUACGGCGAUGAGAGCCACACAAUUACCUGCUAACCCCAUGGCUAACCCCCCAGAGAAUAAGCCGGU